AGGGAAAUAGCUCAGUGGUAGAGGGGAUGCUUAGCAUGCAGGAGGUCCUGGGUUCAAUUCCCAGUACCUCCA
rnacentral:tRNA from 1 species